rnacentral:rRNA from 1 species
UACAGAGGGCGCGAGCGUUGUCCGGAAUCACUGGGCGUAAAGGGCGCGUAGGUGGCGGCGCAAGCGGGCGGUGAAAGCCCGGGGCUCAACCCCGGGUCGGCCGUGCGAACUGCGUCGCUCGAGCAUGGUAGAGGCGGGUGGAAUUCCUGGUGUAGCGGUGGAAUGCGCAGAUAUCAGGAGGAACACCGGUGGCGAAGGCGGGUCUCUGGGCCGUUACUGACGCUGAGGAGCGAAAGCGUGGGGAGCGAACAGG